rnacentral:lncRNA from 1 species
CACUCCCUCAAGUACAACACCAGGAACAAGCACCGGAACAGGUAUUGGAACAGGAACAGGAACAGGAACAGGUACAGGAACAGGUACAGGUACAGGUACAGGAACUGGCACAACAACAGGUGGUCCUAAUGUGUUUGGAAUUAGUCCAGCAUCAUCAACUGGUACUGGUGGAUUAAGUGAUUCUAAUGGAGUGGUUCAAUCUAAAGGCACUUGUGUGUUAUUACUAUCCCUUUUUUUUACUUUAAGGCUACUAAUUGUGAGGGACUAAAUGGUAAAAUUGUAGGCAAAACUUGUGGGCGGUUUGUUGUGUGGAUGAGAUUUUGCCACUACAUGAUGGGUGUUCUUGUAAUUUCAUCACUUGGAAUCAUCCAGAAGCAAACCCCACUUUGGUCUUCUGUUCUUUUUGCUUUUGUUUUGUUCCUUCUAUGUGCAAAGGGGAAAAAGUAGAGAAUUUGGUUCCUUUUAAGUGGUGAAUAUAAUGAUGACUACUAAUGAGUAAUGAAGAGGGCAUAGAACCUGGUGGC